CAGCGCCACAAGUGGCAAUCGUUAUUAUUGGGCCUAAAGCGUCCGUAGCCAGUUUAGUAAGUCUUUUGUGAAAUUGUUGUGCUUAACACAACACUGUGCAAAAGAUACUGCUAGACUUGGAACUGGGAGGAGUUAGGGGUAUUCCAAGGGGAGCGGUAAAAUGCUAUAAUCCUUGGAGGACCACCGGUGGCGAAAGCGCCUAACUAGAACAGAUUCGACGGUGAGGGACGAAAGCCAGGGGGGCAAACCGGAUUAGAUACCCGAGUAGUCC
rnacentral:rRNA from 1 species